GGAAUAUAUAUCACCAGAUUCUGAUUUAUAUGCGACAUUGAGCCUCGUAUCGGUGGCUGGAGUUGUGGUCAUGGUUAUUGCAUUCUCUCUGGGAUUAGGAGCAAUGCCAUGGAUUAUAAUGUCUGAGAUUCUUCCGAUUAACAUCAAAGGCCUAGUUGGAAGUUUUGCAACACUUGCCAAUUGGUUCUUUUCCUGGUUGGUUACAUUAACAGCAAAUUUGCUCUUGGAUUGGAGUUCGGGAGGUUUGUGUGCAUUGCCUAUGUUAAUUUUCUAUAAAUAUCUAUUGUUUCUAACCAGAAGCUUCCUAUGUUUUUAUCAGGAACCUUCACAAUAUAUACUGCAGUGUGUGUUUUCAUAGCAGGAUUUGUUGCCAUUUGGGUCCCCGAGACAAAGGGAAAAACUCUUGAAGAAAUACAACAGUUUUUCAGAUGAAGUUUCCUUUCGAGUAGCACUUCAGCUAGUGUUCACUCAUGUAUUCACAUUCAUAUUUUUUUUUCUGAAUCAACUCAAUUCAUUUUUGUGCUCUUUGGUC